CAUUCCUCGGCGGGACAGCCCGCGCCCCGUAAAAGGGACGGCCCGCCCGAGGACCCCUAAACUCUGUUUUUAGUGGAACUUCUGAGUAAAACAAACAAAUAAAUCAAAACUUUCAACAACGGAUCUCUUGGUUCUGGCAUCGAUGAAGAACGCAGCAAAAUGCGAUAAGUAAUGUGAAUUGCAGAAUUCAGUGAAUCAUCGAAUCUUUGAACGCACAUUGCGCCCGCCAGUAUUCUGGCGGGCAUGCCUGUUCGAGCGUCAUUUCAACCCUCAAGCUCAGCUUGGUGUUGGGACUCGCGGUAACCCGCGUUCCCCAAAUCGAUUGGCGGUCACGUCGAGCUUCCAUAGCGUAGUAAUCAUACACCUCGUUACUGGUAAUCGUCGCGGCCACGCCGUAAAACACCCAACUUCUGA
rnacentral:sRNA from 1 species